UUGGUGGCCCAAGAGUAAUCUCCACUAAGCCUAGGGGUGCCCCCAUCCCUUAAACAGCUCAGGGGUGCAUGCCAGAGGGCAGGAGACAAUCAGACUGUGUUCCUCCUCCCCAGUUCGAACUGGAUCUCCCUCCUUGGUCCUCUGCAGCUUGGCAUGACCUUCGCCCUCAGCCCCAGCCCACCCCUCACCUCUUGCGGGUCGGGGGUCCUCACGCCAGGCCGGAGGUGGACGCCAUGACCAGCCUGAAUAAGCAUCGGGGCUCUCUGGCUGCCUCCUUCAGCCUUCAUACCAGAGCCCGGAGAGGCCCCUGUCAAAAUAAGAGCUCCCCCAUCUCGCUCGCCUCCUUGCCCAACCCGGCUCCCCCAGCCUCCCAGUGGUCUGACUCGACCGAGGAGAAGACGCGCCGACAACAUCCCACGCUGGGGAGAAGUUUGACAAUCUACCCUACCCUCCUAUCAAUACCGAUUGGAAUGAGCAGGAUCCCUGGACUCCCUCAACCCUCACCAAACACACUGCUGGGUCCCCUCUUUAUUGUACAUAGCCACAUUCAUUAUGCAUCUCCCUUAUUCCUCUCUCUUUCCUAGCAGACCAUGAAGUUCUUGAGGACAUAGACUGAUUUUUUUCUCUCAAGUCUCAGUACAAAGUAGAUGCUAAGAAAACGUUUAUGGUAGUGGAAACUUUGUCUUCUCCAAAGACCUCUCUCUCCCCUAACCUCAUACUGAUAUAUAUAUACACACACACUCACACACACACACACAAGAUCCAAUGUGAGAAUAGAUGCAACAAGAAAGAAAUGGUAAAGGACUUUUUUAAAGCAUUUCACAUAUAUUAUUUCAAUGUUUAUCACAAACCCAUGAGGAAGAUGUUAUGGCCACAUUACACAGGUAAAAAAACUGAAGUUUGCACUAGUGAAAGACUCACUCCAGGUUUCACAGCUAGAAAACGGUAAGCCCAGAACUAGAAUUUGUGUCUCCUUAUCACAAGGCACUUUCCCUGUAUCCCACUGCCCUGACCCACCCAGAAUUAAUACCAAGUAACAAGCAUUGACUGUUUUUCAAAGGAAGAGCCCCGGCAAGCCUAUUUGCUCCUGCUAUGAUUCCUCUGCUAGCUCCUCUGCCCCUGCUCAGAGAGCUCUAGCCCUCUCCUGCCUCCCUCUCUUCCGACCAUAUAUUAUAUCUAUGACACCCACUGGGUACCUAUUUAAAUGUUUUCUUUUGUUUGUCCUGUAUAUAUGUCUGGUUGCUCCAAAAGAUUCUUGAGGAUCCAGACAAUGCCUCCUGUGCCUCUAUAUUCCCUACAACACUGAAGUGCUGGGGUCAUAGUAGAGCUUCAAUAAAUAUUCACCUGAUGGGUGGAUGGUGCCAGCAACUGGCCACUGGGCCAGGCCUAGGGAUAUAUAGAAGGGGGACAAAUCCUGAAAGAAGAUAACACUUGUGGGUGCUUAACAUCACUGUUUACGAAGCAUUUUCAUACAUAUGAUAUGUUGAUCAUGCUUUGAUCCAGUUGACAAAAUUUCCCCAAAUGUCUACUAAUUGCUGUGCCAAGCACAAAGCUGGGUUAAAGAUUGACUCAUCAUCACAACCCUGAGCCACGUGAGCCAGGUAUUAUUCCCACUUAAAGAAA